UACGUAGGGUGCGAGCGUUAUUCGGAAUUACUGGGCGUAAAGCGUGCGUAGGCGGUUUUGUAAGCCAGGUGUGAAAUCCCCGGGCUCAACCUGGGAAUGGCAUUUGGGACUGCAAGGCUGGAGUGCGGCAGAGGUGACUGGAAUUCCUGGUGUAGCAGUGAAAUGCGUAGAUAUCAGGAGGAAUACCGAUGGCGAAGGCAGGUCUCUGGGCUGACACUGACGCUCAUGCACGAAAGCGUGGGGAGCAAACAGG
rnacentral:rRNA from 1 species